GCAUUUAGUUGGGCACUCUAAGGUGACUGCCGGUGACAAACCGGAGGAAGGUGGGGAUGACGUCAAAUCAUCAUGCCCCUUAUGACCUGGGCUACACACGUGCUACAAUGGACAGAACAAAGGGCUGCGAGACCGCAAGGUUUAGCCAAUCCCAUAAAUCUGUUCUCAGUUCGGAUCGCAGUCUGCAACUCGACUGCGUGAAGCUGGAAUCGCUAGUAAUCGCGGAUCAGCAUGCCGCGGUGAAUACGUUCCCGGGCCUUGUACACACCGCCCGUCACACCACGAGAGUUUGUAACACCCGAAGUCGGUGAGGUAACCUUUAUGGAGCCAGCCGCCGAAGGUGGGACAGAUGAUUGGGGUGAAGUCGUAACAAGGUAGCCGUAUCGGAAGGUGCGGCUGGAUCACCUCCUUUCUAAGGA
rnacentral:rRNA from 1 species